rnacentral:rRNA from 1 species
AUGUCUUGCUUCCAUUUGCCUCGGGGCUUAUGUGACAAUAUUAUUGAUAACACAUCUGCUCAAUGGAAAGAAGAGUUGAUCCGGUCAGUUUUUACACUGUUUGAUGUAGAAGAGAUCCUAAAAAUUCCGCUAUGUACCCGCAAUGUUACUGAUUUCUGGGCAUGGCAUGACGAACCCAAAGGUAACUUCUCGGUUCGGUCAGCUUACCAGAUGAUUUUGAGAACAGAACUCACCAGGGAGAGAUGGAUACACGAAGAAGCAGGUAUGUCAGAAAGAGAUAGUGAGUUCCGGUCCUCACUUUGGCAUAUCUAGGUUCCAUCAAAACUCCGUAUGUUUGUUUGGAGACUUGCGAGACAGUCCAUGCCUACUGGAGAAGUUCUAAAUCAUCACCACAUGGCGGAUGAGGACACAUGCAGACUGUGUGGAGCACGAGACACAUGGAGGCAUGCACUACUAACAUGCUCAAUGUCUCGAAGUGUAUGGGCUCUUGCUCUUGAAGAGCUCGUUGAGAAGAUCAUAAGUUAUCAACAGGAGGGUCCAAAGGAGUGGCUCUUUGCCCUACAUGAAAUAUUGAGUGUGGACGAUUUCCUUCGCCUAGUUGUGACAGCUUGGGCAAUCUGGGGGCGAGGAGGAAAGCAAUAUUAUGAAGAUAUUUUUCAGUCUCCUUUUGCUAUGAAUAGUUUCAUAUCAGUUUAUCUGGAUGAGGUUCGCCAAGCUAACAACCAGGUUGAGGAAGCUAGUGUACCCGUGGUAAGGAGCUUAUUAUGGAUACCUCCAGCCCAGGGGAGAGUCAAAAUAAAUGUGAAUGCAACUGUGUUAGCAAGAAGGAAAUUUGGAGCCGUAAGUGUGAUCUGCAGAGACCAAAAUGGUGCUUUUCUUGGGGCCUCCGUGGUGGUAAUCAAAUUCAUUACAGAUCCUCCCACACUUGAGGCAAUGGCUAUCCGGGAAGCUCUAUCCUUGGCUGAGGAUUUAUAUUUUCAAAAUAUUCAUGUUGCUUCUGAUUGCAAAACGGUGGUUGAUGAGGUGAGAAAAGGGACUUACGCGGCAUAUGGAGCAGUUGUCCAAGAGAUUUCUGAACGAUCUACGAAUCUUCAAUCUUGUAAUAUAGUUCAUGAGUUUAGGAGCUCGAAUUAUGAAGCUCACACCCUAGCAAAGCAUGCUGUCCCACUCGGUAUUGGUCGACAUGUUUGGUUGGGCUAUCCGGGAGAUCUUUCCUUCGUCCCUGUAAACAUUGUGACGUUUGAAUAA